GAUGAACGCUGGCGGCGUGCCUAAUACAUGCAAGUCGAGCGAACAGACGAGGAGCUUGCUCCUCUGACGUUAGCGGCGGACGGGUGAGUAACACGUGGAUAACCUACCUAUAAGACUGGGAUAACUUCGGGAAACCGGAGCUAAUACCGGAUAAUAUAUUGAACCGCAUGGUUCAAUAGUGAAAGACGGUUUUACUGUCACUUAUAGAUGGAUCCGCGCCGCAUUAGCUAGUUGGUAAGGUAACGGCUUACCAAGGCAACGAUGCGUAGCCGACCUGAGAGGGUGAUCGGCCACACUGGAACUGAGACACGGUCCAGACUCCUACGGGAGGCAGCAGUAGGGAAUCUUCCGCAAUGGGCGAAAGCCUGACGGAGCAACGCCGCGUGAGUGAUGAAGGUCUUCGGAUCGUAAAACUCUGUUAUUAGGGAAGAACAAAUGUGUAAGUAACUAUGCACGUCUUGACGGUACCUAAUCAGAAAGCCACGACUAACUACGUG
rnacentral:rRNA from 1 species